rnacentral:lncRNA from 1 species
UUGAUUGUAGGAAGUGGAACAACUAAGAAUGGAACGCCUGCAGAUCGAUGAACAGCUGCGACAGAUUGGUAUGGGUUUCAGACCUUCUUCCACCAGAGGGCCUGAAAAAGAGAAAGGAUAUGCCACUGAUGAAAGUACCGUCUCUUCUGUACAAGGUUCUAGGUCUUAUAGUGGAAGAGGCAGAGGUCGUCGGGGCCCUAAUUACACCUCCGGUUAUGGUACAAAUUCUGAGCUGUCUAACCCCUCCGAAACAGAAUCUGAGCGUAAAGAUGAGCUGAGUGAUUGGUCAUUGGCAGGAGAAGAUGAUCGAGAGACUCGACAUCAGCGAGACAGCAGGAGACGCCCAGGAGGAAGAGGCAGAAGUGUUUCUGGGGGACGAGGUCGUGGUGGACCACGUGGUGGCAAAUCCUCCAUCAGUUCUG